AGUGAACGCUGGCGGUAGGCCUAACACAUGCAAGUCGAACGGCAGCACAGUAAGAGCUUGCUCUUACGGGUGGCGAGUGGCGGACGGGUGGGGAAUACAUCGGAAUCUACUUUUUCGUGGGGGAUAACGUAGGGAAACUUACGCUAAUACCGCAUACGACCUACGGGUGAAAGCAGGGGAUCUUCGGACCUUGCGCGAUUGAAUGAGCCGAUGUCGGAUUAGCUAGUUGGCGGGGUAAAGGCCCACCAAGGCGACGCUCCGUAGCUGGUCUGAGAGGAUGAUCAGCCACACUGGAACUGAGACACGGUCCAGACUCCUACGGGAGGCAGCAGUGGGGAAUAUUGGACAAUGGGCGCAAGCCUGAUCCAGCCAUACCGCGUGGGUGAAGAAGGCCUUCGGGUUGUAAAGCCCUUUUGUUGGGAAAGAAAAGCAGCAGGUUAAUACCCCGCUGUUCUGACGGUACCCAAAGAAUAAGCACCGGCUAACUUCGUG
rnacentral:rRNA from 1 species